rnacentral:rRNA from 1 species
CAGUAGCCACGGUAAUACGUAGGGGGCGAGCGUUGUCCGAAGUUACUGGGCGUAAAGCGCGCGUAGGCUGUCUCUUAAGUUUGGGGUGAAAGGUUCACGGCUCAACCGGAACAGUGCCUUGAAUACUGGGAGACUUGAGUUUGGCAGAGGAUAGUGGAAUUCCUGGUGUAGCGGUGAAAUGCGUAGAUAUCAGGAGGAACACCCAUGGCGAAGGCAGCUAUCUGGGCUAAAACUGACGCUGAGGUGCGAAAGCGUGGGGAGCGAACGGGAUUAGAUACCCCCGUAGUCCCUGUCUCUUAUU